GAUGAAGAACGCAGCGAAAUGCGAUAAGUAGUGUGAAUUGCAGAAUUCAGUGAAUCAUCGAAUCUUUGAACGCACAUUGCGCCCCUUGGUAUUCCAUGGGGCAUGCCUGUUCGAGCGUCAUUACAACCCUCAGGCCCCCGGGCCUGGCGUUGGGGAUCGGCGGAGCCCCCCGUGGGCACACGCCGUCCCCCAAAUGCAGUGGCGGUCCCGCCGCAGCUUCCAUCGCGUAGUAGCUAACACCUCGCGACUGGAGAGCGGCGCGGCCACGCCGUAAAACACCCAACUCUUCUGAAGUUGACCUCGAAUCAGGUAGGAAUACCCGCUGAACUUAAGCAUAUCAAUAAGCGGAGGA
rnacentral:misc_RNA from 1 species